rnacentral:rRNA from 1 species
UACGUAGGGGGCUAGCGUUGUCCGGAAUCAUUGGGCGUAAAGAGCGUGUAGGCGGUCCGGUAAGUCCGCUGUGAAAGUCGGGGGCUCAACCCUCGAAUGCCGGUGGAUACUGUCGGGCUAGAGUCCGGAAGAGGCGAGUGGAAUUCCUGGUGUAGCGGUGGAAUGCGCAGAUAUCAGGAGGAACACCGAUGGCGAAGGCAGCUCGCUGGAACGUAACUGACGCUGAGACGCGAAAGCGUGGGGAGCAAACAGG